rnacentral:lncRNA from 1 species
GGUUUCGUGCUGGAUUCAGAGGCGCUCGUGGUGGUAGGGAGUUUGCAGACUUUGAAUAUAGGAAAGACAACAAAGUUGCUGCAUAGUCUACAAACAAGUCUUUGAAAAUAGGUGACUCCUAGCUCUUCAUGGUCCUGGAAAGUGCUUUCAGUCUUUGUGAAGAAUGAAGAAGUGAAGUUGCUGUCUUGCCUGUCACCAGCACUGGGUUUUGUCUGUUUUCUGCUUCAUUUCAAAGCUACACUGCAGUUGCUUUGGGGCAGGAAGGCUCGUCUUAAAACACAAGUAUAAGUGUAUGUGGAGUAGCAGAUGGUUGUGAUUCCUUGUUUAGAGUUGAACUAAAGCCAGCUAAAUGGAACUGCUAAGUAUUUUUUCAUCACUGAAAGGAUUUUCUUAUCACUAAUUAAUUGUAUUCGGCAAUUACUUCCAAUUGCCUGCAGAUAGGCCGUGAUACUGUGUUUUGAGCCACAGAAGGUUUUGUGCGUGUGUGUGUGUAUGUAUGUGUGUGUGCGCGCGCGCGUGUAUGUGCGUGUCUUUUUCUUUUUGGAGAUCCUAUAAUAUGAGGUAGCUUAUUUCGACACUUAAUUAGGGUGCUGGAUGGUAGAGAAUUUUGUCAGUCAACUAUGUACACACAGGUAAAUACUGUUUCUUAGGCAAAGGUAACUUUUUUAUAUAGUUGUAAAAUUCCAUUAUAUUCCAUUGCCAAAGAAACAUUAAGAACUUUGUAUAGCUGUAUAAAAAGCAACUAAUUUUUUAAAGAAUAAACGUUUUAAAGUCAGCAAACAUACGUGUCCUUGCAGAAGUCAGUGUGCUGAGGAGCAGGGAUAUGGGUGGGUCUUUCCCCUUGCUUUCCAGGCUUAAGGUUUUUGAUUUCCUUUGUACUGUUUGGACUAAAGUGAAGAUUUGAUAACUUUAUUCCAUUAUCUAAAAAGCAUAAAUUAUUCAUGCAUAGUGUAUGGACUUCGUUUUGUAGCAAAUCACAGGAUUUGUUCAAAUAACAGAUCUUUUAAGUGUAUGAAUGUAAAUAAUCAUAGAUGAGAGUGUACCUCGCUGUAUUUUCAAAUAAGUAACCUUUUUAAGACAUUAAAACUCAAUAUAUCAGUUGACCCAUUCCUCCUGCUAUGCCUGGAAUUCUGUUGUGGUAACCGCUGACUCCUGUUUUAUGUCAAAAAGAUGGAGUUUUCAGAAUCCUCUGGCACCUGUAAAACAUCACUAACAUAGUAUGCGGGCCUGUGGCCUUCUAAUGACUCUGUACACGGUUGUUGCUAACUGUAAAUUACUAAUAAAUCUUUUUUGAUAUUUAAACUAUAGUGAAAAAGAUCUGGCCACUUUGUGUUUUUAAUAAAGGCCAUGGAAUAAAG